CAGCAGCCGCGGUAAUACGGAGGGUGCAAGCGUUGUUCGGAAUUACUGGGCGUAAAGGGCGCGUAGGUGGUUGCGUCAGUCGGAUGUGAAAUCCCCGGGCUUAACCCGGGAACUGCAUCCGAUACUGCGUGACUCGAGUGCAGCAGAGGGAAACGGAAUUCCUGGUGUAGAGGUGAAAUUCGUAGAUAUCAGGAGGAACACCGGUGGCGAAGGCGGUUUCCUGGGCUGACACUGACACUGAGGCGCGAAAGCGUGGGUAGCAAACAGGAUUAGAUACCCUGGUAGUCCACGCUGUAAACGGUGAGUGCUGGGUGUGGGAGGUGUAAUGCCUUCUGUGCCGAAGCUAACGCGUUAAGCACUCCGCCUGGGGAGUACGGCCGCAAGGUUGAAACUCAAAGGAAUUGACGG
rnacentral:rRNA from 1 species